UACGUAGGGGGCAAGCGUUGUCCGGAUUUAUUGGGCGUAAAGAGCGUGUAGGCGGUUUGGUGGGUCCGUUGUGAAAACUCGAGGCUCAACCUCGAGACGCCGAUGGAAACCAUCAGACUAGAGUCCGGAAGAGGAGAGUGGAAUUCCUGGUGUAGCGGUGAAAUGCGCAGAUAUCAGGAAGAACACCCGUGGCUAAGGCGGCUCUCUAGGACGGUACUGACGCUGAGACGCGAAAGCGUGGGGAGCGAACAGG
rnacentral:rRNA from 1 species